rnacentral:rRNA from 1 species
UACAGAGGGUGCGAGCGUUAACCGGAAUUACUGGGCGUAAAGCGCGCGUAGGCGGUUUUGUAAGUCGGGUGUGAAAUCCCCAAGCUUAACUUGGGAACUGCAUUCGAGACUGCAUAGCUAGAGUAUGGGAGAGGGAAGUGGAAUUUCAGGUGUAGCGGUGAAAUGCGUAGAUAUCUGAAGGAACAUCAGUGGCGAAAGCGACUUCCUGGACCAAUACUGACGCUCAUGUGCGAAAGCGUGGGGAGCAAACAGG